CCUACGGGUGGCAGCAGUGAGGAAUAUUGGUCAAUGGGCGCGAGCCUGAACCAGCCAAGUCGCGUGAGGGAGGACGGCCCUACGGGUUGUAAACCUCUUUUAUAAAGGAAUAAAGUGAGGCACGUGUGCCUUUUUGUAUGUACCAUAUGAAUAAGGAUCGGCUAACUCCGUGCCAGCAGCCGCGGUAAUACGGAGGAUCCGAGCGUUAUCCGGAUUUAUUGGGUUUAAAGGGUGCGUAGGUGGAUUGUUAAGUCAGUUGUGAAAGUUUGCGGCUCAACCGUAAAAUUGCAGUUGAAACUGGCAGUCUUGAGUACAGUAGAGGUGGGCGGAAUUCGUGGUGUAGCGGUGAAAUGCUUAGAUAUCACGAAGAACUCCGAUUGCGAAGGCAGCUCACUGGACUGCAACUGACACUGAGGCUCGAAAGUGUGGGUAUCAAACAGGAUUAGAUACCCGGGUAGUC
rnacentral:rRNA from 1 species